rnacentral:rRNA from 1 species
UACGGAGGGUGCAAGCGUUAUCCGGAUUCACUGGGUUUAAAGGGUGCGUAGGUGGAUCGGUAAGUCCCGUGGUGAAAUCCCCGAGCUUAACUCGGGAACUGCCGUGGAUACUAUCGAUCUUGAAUACUGUGGAGGUAAGCGGAAUAUGUCAUGUAGCGGUGAAAUGCUUAGAUAUGACAUAGAACACCGAUAGCGAAGGCAGCUUGCUACACAGUUAUUGACACUGAGGCACGGAAAGCGUGGGGAGCAAACAGG